rnacentral:sRNA from 1 species
AAAACACAAAAAAAAACUCAAUAAAAUUAAAUUUCAAGAAUCAUCAUGAAAAAAGUUAGACAAAU